ACAUUCACUAAAACGGUAAUUAAUCUCUCUUUGUAACUCCAAAUUUAGUGGGGUUUGAUUCUGUGGAAAGAUAACUCGAUUACGGUCAUUUCGAUAUCUGUUUGGUGAAUUAUUGAUCCAAAUUGAGUUGUGUGCGAGACUUUGAAGUUGUGACUCAAAAGCAGAUGUUUGCAGAAUUUUGGGGGACAUACCUUCACUAAAACGGUAAUUAAUCUCUCUUUGUAACUCCAAAUUUAGUGGAGUUUGAUUCUGUGGAAAGAUAACUCGAUUACGGUCAUUUCGAUAUCUGUUU
rnacentral:lncRNA from 1 species